AUAUAUCAACCUCUUCAAGCUUUGUUGAGUGUUGGAUGUGGGGGAAUUUUUGCUGGACUCUCUGAGGUCAGCUCCCCUAAAAUACAUUAGCAAAACAAUUUGUUUACUGCUCAUUGGUGUGAUAAUUAUCUACGCUAUUGACGGUAAAUUGCAGUUUAGCUUCUAACGGUCCAUUGAUUUGGACAACCCUUUUAUUA
rnacentral:misc_RNA from 1 species